AAAGUGUACCUCGAUAAACCGUGAAGGAGAGCAGGUUUGAACCGGUUUUGUUCUGUGAUGUUGCUAAAUUAGCACAAACGCUGUAGCACGUUUGAACCGCGUGAGCUGCUGUUAGCUAGCUCAUUUUAGGGCUUGUUCAACUGGAGGAGAAGACACUGACUGCGUGGCGGGUUCUUUCACCAAACUUCUCAGCGUCUGAUUGACAGUGUGCUUUAGACACCGCCACCAUGCUGCUGCAGUACAGGUGCGCAGGACUGACGGAGAAGACUGCUGCCUGCACAUGGAUCAAGCCUCAGGACAGAGGGUUUGCACUGUUGGCCACUAAAAGCUUCCUACUUUUCCCACAGGACAGUGAGUAAUGACAAUAUUCCCUUGUGGUUUAAAAGUGAGCUGCAACAUGUGCGCAAACGUUAUAGUACCAUAAACUGACAACUAAAACCCUGGGUAUUAUUAUUUGGACUUUAUUUUAUUUUAGGUGUAAUAAAUGUUUUCUUAUUUGUAUUAAA